rnacentral:rRNA from 1 species
AUUGAACGCUGGCGGCAUGCCUUACACAUGCAAGUCGAACGGCAGCACGGGUGCUUGCACCUGGUGGCGGGUGGCGAACGGGUGAGUAAUAUAUCGGAACGUACCUUAUUGUGGGGGAUAACGCAGCGAAAGCUGUGCUAAUACCGCAUAAUCCCUAAGGGGGAAAGCGGGGGACCGUAAGGCCUCGCGCAAUUAGAGCGGCCGAUACCUGAUUAGCUAGUUGGUGAGGUAAAGGCUCACCAAGGCAACGAUCAGUAGCUGGUCUGAGAGGACGAUCAGCCACACUGGGACUGAGACACGGCCCAGACUCCUACGGGAGGCAGCAGUGGGGAAUUUUGGACAAGGGGGGCAACCCUGAUCCAGCAAUGCCGCGUGAGUGAAGAAGGCCUUCGGGUUGUAAAGCUCUUUUGUCAGGGAAGAAACAGCAGCUCUAACACAGUUUGCGAAUGACGGUACCUGAAGAAUAAGCACCGGCUAACUACGUGCCAGCAGCCGCCGUAA